AAGACUAUGCUUUCAGGGAUCAUUUCUAUAGUUUCUGACUUGGAAGUUUGAUUUGAAAGUGUAACGUCUCUCUAACCACGAUGACGAGUUAAGAUGCUUUCUUCUGAGCGUGAAUCGGGUGGUGAGCGACGAGCGAGAUUGUCUGCUCUCUGUCAGUUGAUGAACGUUCCUGCUGUGCUUUGCAGUCUGGAAGAAGAAAGCAUGUUCAGAGUGGU
ensembl:snoRNA U3 Small nucleolar RNA U3